rnacentral:misc_RNA from 1 species
GGAAAAUGAAACCGCCUCUUGCCGCACCCACACCAUCGCUUCUCGCUCUGCCGCCUGCUACCCUGCGGACUUCUCUUGCAGCGCUGUCGUUCUCGAGCACCAAACAAGUUACCCUGUCCACGUUGCCACUUCUCUCCCUGCUACCCAAACGAGUCUCCCUGUCCCUGGCGGAAAGACUUUCCUCGCAAAUGUGAUGGCGAGAAUGUUGGAACAGGC